GUACACACGGAUAACAUACCGAAAGGUAUGCUAAUACGGGAUAACAUAUUUGAGAGGCAUCUCUUAAAUAUCAAAGGUGAGCCAGUACAGGAUGGACCCGCGUCUGAUUAGCUAGUUGGUAAGGUAACGGCUUACCAAGGCGACGAUCAGUAGCCGACCUGCGAGGGUGAUCGGCCACAUUGGAACUGAGACACGGUCCAAACUCCUACGGGAGGCAGCAGUGGGGAAUAUUGCACAAUGGGCGAAAGCCUGAUGCAGCAACGCCGCGUGAGUGAUGAAGGCCUUCGGGUCGUAAAACUCUGUCCUCAAGGAAGAUAAUGACGGUACUU
rnacentral:rRNA from 1 species